rnacentral:lncRNA from 1 species
GUCCCAGGCUUACUCGUGCAUAUAUAAUUAAUCAUGACAUCUGCUACGAGACUGAUUUUAUGUAACUCCUCCAAUGUCUCAACAAGCAUUCACGUUGCUCCAAUGACGUGGAAAUCUUAGGGGCUGUUUAUAUAUAUGGUCCUGCUUACCCGGGAUUCAAUGAAGUGUGACGUAUUUUGAGCAAUUGAAAUACGUCUUACUUUAUGUCAACUAUGAUCUAACAAAAUUGCUUGUUACAAAGUUUCUAUGUUUUAGACAAAAAACAAA